UUUGAUUCUUAGAACAGUGAGAACAACUUGAACGGUAGAGGAAAAUGUUUCUUCCCUAAGAGUUGGCAUAAUCGGCGCAGACCAUAUCUCACUGGACGGUGCUCGCCCUAGAACUGCCGCCGCUGAGGGAUUCUGGGAUAUCUGGCAUCGCUGGCAGAAGGAUACAAUUAGAAACCUUGGUUAUAUUACCAAAGCUUUGACUGGAAUGUGAUACUUAAGAGAGAGACACGUGGAUUCAGGUAUGACCAGGCAUCUUCAAGGAACUAAAAUUGACUUUACGGAGCCCACGAAGCCCUCAGGAAAACCAGCCUGGUACCUUACCUCCAGGGCUCCCAGCAGCUUUACCAGAAAUGCCUCUUAUUAAUUACGUGACUGCUUGCAUAAUAUAGUCCUAACUUUGGAAGCCCACCUGCAAGACCACCUCCUGUUUAACUGAACUGACCUAAUCCCAGGACCAAGAGGCUGCUUCAACAACACUGAACAAUCUGCUUGCUCAGUUUUUAAUGUGAGACUUCCUGGGAAGUUUCAAAGGAGGGAAAUGUGGGGGCCAAAGGCAGGCCACCCCCAAAUGUGUCUCUUUGGCAUGUGGACUAUUUUGAACUGAAGGCAAUGAAGACUCUGAAGGUUCAAGAGAAGAUU